GUUGUAAGGUAGAAUUUUCUUCACCUAGAUGCAGAGGCUAUAUUGAACAUUCCCUUGAAUUAUGCGGGAGGCGAAGAUACAAUUGCUUGGGCCCUAGAAAAAUCCGGCAUCUACUCUGUUAAAUCAGCGUAUCGUUCUCUUGUGACUCACAAUGAGCUUGGAACUCUAGAGGAAGGGACGAUUACAGAAACUUCAAGGACAGAUAAACAUAUGUGGGAUGCUCUUUGGAAACUUCAUGUGGUACCCAAAGUACGAGUCUUC
rnacentral:rRNA from 1 species